CAGUCGCCACGGGAAUACCAGCAGCCCAAGUGGUGGUCGCGAUUAUUGGGCCUAAAGCGCUCGUAGCCGGGCCGGAAAGUCCCUUGUGAAAUCGGACGGCCUAACCGUUCGGCGUGCAAGGGAUACUGUCGGUCUUGAGGCCGGGAGACGUCCGAGGUACUCCGGGGGUAGCGGUGAAAUGUUCUGAUCCUCGGGGGACCACCGGUGGCGAAGGCGUUCGACGAGAACGGGCCUGACGGUGAGGGGCGAAGGCUAGGGGAGCAAACGGGAUUAGAGACCCCAGUAGUCCCUGUCUCUUAUA
rnacentral:rRNA from 1 species